AACGAACGCUGGCGGCAGGCUUAACACAUGCAAGUCGAGCGCCCCGCAAGGGGAGCGGCAGACGGGUGAGUAAAGCGUGGGAAUCUACCCUCUACUACGGAAUAGCGCAGGGAAACUUGUGCUAAUACCGUAUGUGUCCUUUUUGGAGAAAGAUUUAUCGGUAGGGGAUGAGCCCGCGUUGGAUUAGCUAGUUGGUGGGGUAAAGGCCUACCAAGGCGACGAUCCAUAGCUGGUCUGAGAGGAUGAUCAGCCACAUUGGGACUGAGACACGGCCCAAACUCCUACGGGAGGCAGCAGUGGGGAAUAUUGGACAAUGGGCGCAAGCCUGAUCCAGCCAUGCCGCGUGAGUGAUGAAGGUCUUAGGAUUGUAAAGCUCUUUCACCGGGGAAGAUAAUGAGGGUACCCGCAGAAUAAGCUCCGGCUAACUUCGUGCCAGCCGCCGCAGUAACAC
rnacentral:rRNA from 1 species